rnacentral:rRNA from 1 species
CACGGGGGGAGCAAGCGUUGUUCGGAAUCACUGGGCGUAAAGGGCGUGUAGGCGGUCAAGUAAGUGGAAUGUGAAAUCCCCCGGCUUACCCGGGGACCGGCAUCCCAUACUGCUUGGCUUGAGUACGGGAGAGGAUGUGGGAAUUCCUGGUGUAGCGGUGAAAUGCGCAGAUAUCAGGAGGAACACCGGUGGCGAAGGCGGUUCUCUGGGCAUUACCUGACGCUGAGGAGCGAAAGUGUAGGGAGCGAACAGG